GGUGAGGAUUAAACAGGAGAAUGCACAGGAAGCUUGCAGCACCUGGUGAGAACUCAACGAAGGUGUGGGUCCGCCUUCUGAUGACGGAACCUGUUACAGCUGUCUGUCUGAAGCGAUGAGAUGAGGCAACCCUUGCUCUGGGAAGGCAGAGUCACCUGGCAUCAUCAAGGCCUUUAGCACCUGCUACCACUUGUCUGCUACGAAG
rnacentral:lncRNA from 1 species